UAGCUAGUUGGUGGGGUAAGGGCCUACCAAGGCGACGAUCGGUAGCUGGUCUGAGAGGAUGACCAGCCACACUGGAACUGAGUCACGGUCCAGACUCCUACGGGAGGCAGCAGUGGGGAAUAUUGGACAAUGGGGGCAACCCUGAUCCAGCAAUGCCGCGUGUGUGAAGAAGGCCUGAGGGUUGUAAAGCACUUUCAGUGGGGAGGAGGGUUGAUAGGUUAAGAGCUAAUUAACUGGACGUUACCCACAGAAGAAGCACCGGCUAACUCCGUGCCAGCAGCCGCGGUAAUACGGAGGGUGCGAGCGUUAAUCGGAAUUACUGGGCGUAAAGGGUGCGUAGGUGGUUGAUUAAGUUAUCUGUGAAAUUCCUGGGCUUAACCUGGGACGGUCAGAUAAUACUGGUUGACUCGAGUAUGGGAGAGGGUAGUGGAAUUUCCGGUGUAGCGGUGAAAUGCGUAGAGAUCGGAAGGAACACCAGUGGCGAAGGCGGCUACCUGGCCUAAUACUGACACUGAGGCACGAAAGCGUGGGGAGCAAACAGGAUUAGAUACCCUGGUAGUCCACGCUGUAAACGAUGUCAACUAGCUGUUGGUUAUAUGAAAAUAAUUAGUGGCGC
rnacentral:rRNA from 1 species